GACAGAGGGGGCAAGCGUUGCUCGGAAUUACUGGGCGUAAAGGGCGCGUAGGCGGGAUGGUAAGUCGGUCGUGAAAUCCCUCGGCUCAACCGAGGAACGUCGAUCGAUACUACCGUUCUUGAGGAUUGCAGAGGAGACUGGAAUUCCCGGUGUAGCGGUGAAAUGCGUAGAUAUCGAGAGGAACACCAGUGGCGAAGGCGAGUCCCUGGACAAAACCUGACACUGAGGCACGAAAGCUAGGGGAGCAAACAGG
rnacentral:rRNA from 1 species